GAACGAUCCUGACACUAGGAAAUCUUCUUUACGAUGAAAACCUUCCAGGGUAGAAAAGAGGAGGACUUCUACCUGCAGAGCUACAGCAUAUAGAACAUCCUCAUGGCUGAACUGGGAAGCUGAGAGUCAUGGUUGGUGUUGGAAAGACUUAUCUCAGUAUCCAGCCUUGCCCCUCUCUUCCCACUUGCCUUUGGAAAAGUCUGAAGAGUUGCAAGUCCUCUGGUUCUGCUCAAGGCCCUGUUAUACUCCAAUCUUCACAGCCUCUGCCACUGCUUCCAUUGCUUAUCUCAAUCAUGGCACCAGUCUUGAUGCUGCUUUGUGGGGUUGUUCUGUACCAGAAGAGGAGAAGAAUACAAAAUAGGGCUUUUAAUUCCACUCCAGGCUUUGUGCGCAUGGAGGAUCUGCUCAUCUCUGACAUCUCCCUUCCGACUCAUGAAGCUGAGCAACUGGCAGCAAGAGCAGUUCCUACUGAGGAUACUGGCAACAAAAGAACUCGCCUGGUGGGAGAAGACACCACACUGUGACAGCCAYGUGCCAGCCAGCUAGAGAUGGAAAAGAGUGUUGGGGGCACAGUAUGAGUAUGGAGCAAGGGGGAUCAGCUCUGUGAGGCUUGCUCUUGGCCUCAAUAUGUAGGAGUUGUUGGUGCCUUGGGGCCUUCUUGGUACCUGCCAGGAUGUGAUGCUCCUGAGGACAGGUGUGUCAUGCCUAGUACAGAAUUUGGGGGUCAAACUGGGUUGCUGGUUCUGUCCUCAGGUUAUGCAGUGCCARGCACCAAGUGCUGUGUCUGGUUCUGCUAGGAGGGGUUGACUCUCAUCUUGUGACUGCCCCAUGCUGUCUCUGCCCCUCUCCGACUUCCAGCAUGGUCUUUCCAGCUGUCAUAACACUCUGCAUCCCUUCAGAGGACCCCACAGCCACUCCCUCAUCUGAGAUUUCCCUCUGUGACCAGCCUGUGACCACUCCAGAUGCAAAACUCUAGUGGUGCAGCUCUGUCUCAUAGGGCAGCCCUGACACCAUCGACRGCUCUGGACCACUUCUUCUCUACAAAGUUGGGUUUCUAGAAAUUAAUCCACCAGCCAUCUCCCUGCCACCUCGGUCAGUCACCCCAAGCAAUACAAGGCACGACACACACCUCAUGGCACCAAAGAACUGCAUGCAAAAGACAUUUGAUGCAUAGAAAUCUUUCAGGUUCAUGCUUUCAAUUUUUUGUGCAUUUGUGAAAAUAAACGUAUUCUGUAACAUUU
rnacentral:lncRNA from 1 species